rnacentral:rRNA from 1 species
UACGUAGGGUGCGAGCGUUAAUCGGGAAUUACUGGGCGUAAAGCGUGCGCAGGCGGUGAUGUAAGACAGAUGUGAAAUCCCCGGGCUCAACCUGGGAAUGGCAUUGGUGACUGUACGGCUAGAGUGUGUCAGAGGGGGGUAGAAUUCCACGUGUAGCAGGUGAAAUGCGUAGAGAUGUGGAGGAAUACCGAUGGCGAAAGGCAGCCCCCUGGGAUAACACUGACGCUCAUGCACGAAAGCGUGGGGAGCAAACAGG